UGAACGCUGGCGGCGUGCCUAAUACAUGCAAGUCGAGCGAACAGAUACGGAGCUUGCUCCUUUGACGUUAGCGGCGGACGGGUGAGUAACACGUGGGUAACCUACCUAUAAGACUGGGAUAACUUCGGGAAACCGGAGCUAAUACCGGAUAACAUUUGGAACCGCAUGGUUCUAAAGUGAAAGAUGGUUUUGCUAUCACUUAUAGAUGGACCCGCGCCGUAUUAGCUAGUUGGUAAGGUAACGGCUUACCAAGGCAACGAUACGUAGCCGACCUGAGAGGGUGAUUCGCCACACUGGAACUGAGACACGGUCCAGACUCCUACGGGAGGCAGCAGUAGGGAAUCUUCCGCAAUGGGCGAAAGCCUGACGGAGCAACGCCGCGUGAGUGAUGAAGGGUUUCGGCUCGUAAAACUCUGUUAUUAGGGAAGAACAAACGUGUAAGUAACUGUGCACGUCUUGACGGUACCUAAUCAGAAAGCCACGGCUAACUACGUG
rnacentral:rRNA from 1 species